UACGUAGGGUGCAAGCGUUGUCCGGAAUUACUGGGCGUAAAGCGUGCGCAGGCGGCUUUGCAAGUCAGCUGUGAAAUCCCCGGGCUUAACCUGGGAACUGCAUUUGAGACUGCAUGGCUGGAGUGCGGCAGAGGAGGAUGGAAUUCCGCGUGUAGCAGUGAAAUGCGUAGAUAUGCGGAGGAACACCGAUGGCGAAGGCAAUCCCCUGGGCCUGCACUGACGCUCAUGCACGAAAGCGUGGGGAGCAAACAGG
rnacentral:rRNA from 1 species